UACGUAGGAUCCAAGCGUUGUCCGGAUUUACUGGGUGUAAAGGGUGCGCAGGCGGACUUAUAAGUCAGUGGUGAAAUCUCACAGCUUAACUGUGAAACUGCCUUUGAUACUGUAGGUCUUGAAUUAGGGAGAGAUUCGUGGAAUUCCGAGUGUAGCAGUGAAAUGUGUAGAUAUUCGGAAGAACACCAGAGGCGAAGGCAGCGAAUUGGCCCUAUAUUGACGCUCAGGCACGAAAGCAUGGGAUCAAACAGG
rnacentral:rRNA from 1 species